CCCAGAGCCCCAGGCGGUCCUGAGCCUUGCCCCUUCUGCCGAUGGAGCCCCAUCUAGCCAUUUAGACUUUCUCUUUCAGAACUCCUCACCAAGUCAAGGCUUUCGGAUUCACUGAUAGAAGGCUCAUCUCCACAUCUGCUCUCACUUGUUGCUUCUGUGAUUAGUGACAGGAGCCUCGGCCCCUCGUACAUGUCCCAUUUGAUCCACAGCACAGGUAGGGGAAGAAGAGAAUUCAACUGACGAGCAAAAGAUGAAGUAAUUGUUGAAUGUCCUGUUCUGCACCAGCACAGCAGAGCAUACAGAAAUACAGGGCACUGUCCUGAUCUUCCAGAAACCGCCAGAUUUCUGUGACAAACCCAGAAUUCAGAAGUCAGCUGGAGGGAGCAAUGUAUUCCCAGAUUGGAGAAAAGAACAAGGAAAGGGGAAUUCCUGCCAAUCAAGCAAGCUUUUCAAGGUGUUUUUUCCUGGCCUUGGCAAAGAACACAAUUACGUACUUGAAGAUGAGAGAGAGAGUGUCCUGACUGUAAAGCACCUUGUUUACUACGGCGUCUUCUGCUCGGCACUCAGCACACUUUGCCCCUGGAGAAUGCCUUCAUUACCAGCGCAUGGCGGCCACUUGCCAGCACAGGGAGCUCGCCCCCGCGGCCUGGCUGCUAAUAAAGAAAGCACUUCAUUUACACCAGGGGAGUCUCUCCAGUCAAGUCCAUAAUAAAAGGGCAAGUCAUAGUUAGAACAGAAUUUGGUUUAUACUAUGGCAACUAUGU